GAUGAACGCUGGCGGCGUGCCUAAUACAUGCAAGUCGAACGCUGGAAAUCUAGCUUGCUAGAUUGAAGGAGUGGCGAACGGGUGAGUAAUACAUAAGCAACCUACCCACGAAGACUGGGAUAAGCUCUGGAAACGGGGACUAAUACCGGAUAGGUAAUCGGAAGGCAUCUUCUGAUUAUUAAAGGUUAAAAACACUGGUGGAUGGGCUUAUGGCGCAUUAGUUAGUUGGUGAGGUAACGGCCCACCAAGACGAUGAUGCGUAGCCGGCCUGAGAGGGUGAACGGCCACAUUGGGACUGAGACACGGCCCAGACUCCUACGGGAGGCAGCAGUAGGGAAUUUUCGGCAAUGGGGGAAACCCUGACCGAGCACCGCCGCGUGAGUGAUGACGGCCUUCGGGUUGUAAAGCUCUGUUGUAAGGGAAGAACGGUAGAUAGAGAAUAUCUAAAUGACGGUACCUUACCAGAAAGCCACGGCUAACUACGUG
rnacentral:rRNA from 1 species